GGGUCAGUAGGUUGGUCGUGCCACCGGUACGUACUGGUCUCACUGAUUCCUCCUUCCUGAAGAACCGUAAUGCCAUUAAUUUGGUGUUGCGGGGAAACAGGACUGUUACCUUGAAAAAAUUAGAGUGUUUAAAGCAAGCUAACGCUUGAAUACAUUAGCAUGGAAUAAUGAAAUAGGACGAUCGAUCCUAUUUUGUUGGUUUCUAGGAUUGACGUAAUGAUUAAUAGGGAUAUUGGG
rnacentral:rRNA from 1 species